UGAGCAAUCUGCCCUUAACUCUGGGAUAAGCCUGGGAAACUGGGUCUAAUACCGGAUAUGACUCCUCAUCGCAUGGUGGGGGGUGGAAAGCUUUAUUGUGGUUUUGGAUGGACUCGCGGCCUAUCAGCUUGUUGGUGAGGUAAUGGCUCACCAAGGCGACGACGGGUAGCCGGCCUGAGAGGGUGACCGGCCACACUGGGACUGAGACACGGCCCAGACUCCUACGGGAGGNAG
rnacentral:rRNA from 1 species